rnacentral:rRNA from 1 species
UAGUAUUCAAUUGUCAGAGGUGAAAUUCUUGGUUUUAUUGAAGACUAACUACUGCGAAAGCAUUUGCCAAGGAUGUUUUCAUUAAUCAAGAACGAAAGUUAGGGUAUCGAAGACGAUCAGAUACCGUCGUAGUCUUAACCAUAAACUAUGCCGACUAGGGAUCGGAUGAUGUUAUUUUUAAUGACUCA